UUGACCUCGGAUCAGGUAGGGUUACCCGCUGAACUUAAGCAUAUCAAUAAGCGGAGGAAAAGAAACCAACAGGGAUUGCCUCAGUAACGGCGAGUGAAGCGGCAACAGCUCAAAUUUGAAAUCUGGUCACCUUACGGAGGCCCGAGUUGUAAUUUGAAGAGGAUGCUUUUGGCGAGGUGCCUUCCGAGUGCCCUGGAACGGGACGCCACAGAGGGUGAGAGCCCCGUAUGGUUGGACACCGAGCCUAUGUAAAGCUCCUUCGACGAGUCGAGUAGUUUGGGAAUGCUGCUCAAAAUGGGAGGUAAACCCCUUCUAAAGCUAAAUAUUGGCCAGAGACCGAUAGCGCACAAGUAGAGUGAUCGAAAGAUGAAAAGCACUUUGAAAAGAGAGUUAAACAGCACGUGAAAUUGUUGAAAGGGAAGCGCUUGCGACCAGACUUGCGCCCGUCGGAUCAACCGUCGCUUGUCGGCGGCUCACUCCGGCGGGCUCAGGCCAGCAUCAGUUUUCCCGGGGGGAGAAAGGCGGUGGGAAUGUAGCUCCUAGGAGUGUUAUAGCCCGCCGCGUAAUACCCUCGGGGGGACUGAGGACCGCGCAUCUGCAAGGAUGCUGG
rnacentral:rRNA from 1 species